AGAAGCCAUACAGUGUGGAAGGACAUAAGGGAAGAUGAUAAGAACACCACGAACCAGGUUCACCUGAGGCCAGUCACUGUUUUUCAUCAAGUCUGACCUUGACAGAGUAAACAGAAGAAAUUAACUGAAGAGGAUUUCUUUCACCAACCU